UUAUUAAGCUAAAGAUGCUGUAGAUGAAGAAGAACGAUGGGGAUUUUAUAGAUGCACUUCAUCUUCUUCAUCGUCUUCAUCAUCAUCGUCA
rnacentral:miRNA from 1 species